rnacentral:misc_RNA from 1 species
CCAAUAGCGUAUAUUAAAGUUGUUGCAGUUAAAAAGCUCGUAGUUGAAUUUCGGGACUAAUAUGUCGGUCGUGCCUCGGUACGUACUGGUAUUUUUGGUUUCUCCCUUCUGACGAACCUUGAUGUCAUUAAUUUGGUGUCUUGGGAAAUCAGGACUGUUACUUUGAAAAAAUUAGAGUGUUUAAAGCAGGCUCACGCUUGAAUACAUUAGCAUGGAAUAAUGAAAUAGGACGUUUGAUUCUAUUUUGUUGGUUUAUAGGAUCGACGUAAUGAUUAAUAGGGAUAGUUGGGGGCAUUAGUAUUCAAUUGUCAGAGGUGAAAUUCUUGGAUUUAUUGAAGACUAACUACUGCGAAAGCAUUUGCCAAGGAUGUUUUCAUUAAUCAAGAACGAAAGUUAGGGGAUCGAAGACGAUCAGAUACCGUCGUAGUCUUAACCAUAAACUAUGCCGACUAGGGAUCGGAUGAUGUUAAUUUUUUAAUGACUCAUUCGGCGCCUUACG